UCACACCUCUCAAUAUUACUCAUCAAAAUAAAAUCCCUUCCCCUAAGUUAUAUAAUCUGUGUACUUCCUCUACUCUUUUCUUCAUACCAUUAUCACCUUCUACAUAGCUUCUCAAAGAAACUCCACCUUUAUUUCUUCAUAAAGUGGAACAAAAGUCUGAAAUUUUACCAACCUUCAUCUUCUCAAAUUAAUAGUCUAUUGUAGAAGAAGGAGGACACAUCUAAUUAUCAACAUCUCCAUCUCUUUUGUGUAAGAGUAAGUUUUCUUUAUGUGUUCUUGAAUUCAUACUUGUAUAUUAAUCUAAUGGCUAAUAGGGCCUUAAAUUGAUAUUUGAAUGUUUUAAAGUAGUUUAGUAUUUGUGGAUUCAAUUUGGAUAUUUGAUUCAAAUUUAAGCAACUUAAAUUUAAGAUGAGUUUAUGAAUUCAAUUAGUAAUUGGGUUGUCUUUGGUGUUGAUUAGUAUUGGUUGUUUGGGUGUUUGGGUUCUAGUAUAAAUUUAGUAUUUUGGAUAUUGACAGAAACAGAGUAUUCUGUUUUGGUCAUUUUCGGGUUAGUUGUGAUUAUUUUUGGGUUCUGGUGUCUUCAUAAGAUUUGUAGAGCUCCGAGUUGCGGUCAGGUAGCCACUUGAAUCGCCUCAAAAUGAGUUCGUAUGAGGGAGUUAUGUCCAAAAUACUAAUAGGCUGUCAUAAAAAUCAACAAUAAGCUUUCUGUUUUGCCAUUUUCGGGGCUGUUUUGAUUGUUUCUGGGUUUUAGUGUCUUCAUAAGAAUUGUAGAGCUCUGAGUCAGGGUUGCGUGGCCACUUGAAUAGCCCCCAAAUAAGUUCGUAUGAGAGAGUUAUGACCAAAAUACUAACAGACUGUCAUAAAAAUCGAGAAUAACUAAUCAUGAGAUUAAUUGUUCAAAUUGGGAUUGCAAUUGGGUAUUUCUUUAAUCAAGUGUUUAAGAUUAUUUUAAGUUUCUUUAUUGGGUAAUUAUGGAUAGUAUGAGUUUGUUGAGUAUUAUUAAUGGUGAUGAAAAAGGGAGCUUGGAUUGUUAUCUUUUGGCGUUAUAAGUUGAUGUACACAAGGUGUUUGUUCAAAUGCAUCAAUUGAAUUCUUUGGUUUUCUAAUUUGAUUUUUGGUGUUCGAAAUUUUGGAUUUUAACUUCGUUUGACUUUGCUUCUAGUCCUUGAUCAAAAUUAUGUUUUGUAUGUUCAUAGCUUUAUAAAUAUGAGCUUUCAAAAAUAUUGUACUAUGAAAAUGAGUUAUGGUUAUUGAUUUCAAAGAAAAUCAAGUGAUUUUUUGAUUCGUUUUAUACUGAAAUGUUCAACAUUGAAAAAUGUCCGUUUUUGGGAAUUGGCAACGAAUAUUUAUUUCCGGAUUAUUGUGAAAUCCUAUAGCUUGAUAAUAGGUAACGGUUAUUCGAAUCGGUCUCGAGCCCCCGAUUCCGUUUCGUUCUUGCAAGAACCGUAUUUUCGGUGAUGACGAUCACCCGUGUUCCGAGGAUUUAGAUCGAGCCUACUUCCUGACGGUCCAUAUAUUCCCACAUUUUUAAGCGUUGUUAAUAUCAUUGUUUUAAUAUGAGAUUUGAAUAAAUACGUUUGGUAUAUAAAGUUUUGUUUGAUUCGCAAAUGAAACCAUAUGUUUCAUUUGUCUUAUUGUUUCGUUAUUGACUUGUAAAGUAAUAGCCGCAUUUUGAUUUUCGCUAUAAACUUGUAAAGUUAUAGUCGUAUUUUGAUUUACUAUGAACCAAAGGUUCUUAGUCGUAUUUAUGUCGAUACCAAAAAGUCUUUUAAAAGAGUUUGGGUUUUAAUAAAUUAAUCUUUUAUAAAGAGUUACCAAUUGAGCAAAUAAAGAAUUUAUUUGAAGAUGUCUGUUAACGACUUGUAUAUAAUAUAUAGUAGUUGGUUGGAUUACUCAACAAUUCAAUUGUUGACAGUCUUUGAUGGGGCUUAUUCCUUACGGGGAUAGAUCCAUUUUUAGGUUAGCUCUGUGAUGGAAAGGAUGCCUACAUGUAUUAUGUGUUACGGGCGAGGCGAGGACUUCUUUUGGAAAUACAUUUUGUAAAUUAGUUAUUCGUAAAUUAAAUUGUAAUAAUUUCAUAAUAUUUUGUAAAUAGUAUUUUCUUAGUUAGGUAAAAAGUUUUAAAUAACUUUGAUAUUAGUUUGCUGUGAUCAUCGAAUCACAGGUCGGAUUCAGUCCAGACCACUAUAAGUCUUCUGCUGUGUUGCGGAUAGUAUUAUUAUACUAUUUAUGUUAGUCUGGGCUGUUUCAAUAUCACAGUUGGAAAGUGCAAGAACGCCUUCUACUCAUAUCAAGUUUUUGAGCGACUUCUUUGAUUGUCGCAACCUAUCUUCAAGGUGUCCAUUUGGUAAUCUACAAAGUAAGGAGUUCCAUUGCCUUAUAUUUCUAAUAUACUUACAAUUUCUUUCAUGCCUACUUACAUUAUCCUUAAAUGUCUACUUACAGUAUCUUUAAUGUCUACUUGGAUCAUCCUUAAUGCCUAUUUACAUCAUCCUUAAUGCCUACUUACUAUAUCCUUAAUGCCCACCUAGUAAGCAUUAAGCAUGCAAUACUUACUAUAUUUUAAAUGCCUACUUACAAUAUUCUUAAUGUCCGUCGAGUAACUUACUCUACAUUUUACUUUAUAGGCCGGUCUAACUAAAGAUGGUCUCUCAAAAAAACCAUUUCUCGCAAGAAUUUGUAUUCUACAAUAAUUUACUUCUUUUAUUAAUUUCACAAGUCACCAUGGUUGGAUAAAACCUACUACACUUUCAUUCCAUAAAAAUAUACUCCCUCCUAUUCAGCCAAAGUGUCAUAUUUCCAUUUAAGGUCAAGUCAUCCUAAAUGUCCCAUUUCUAUUUUUGGUAUUAUUUUUACCCUUAUAACCUUACUUCACUUAACCUAUUUACUUUUAUACCCUUAUUAAACUCAACUAAUUUACUCUUUUUUUUAUCCUAAAUAAUCAAUUACACCAUUCUAAUCUAAACAACAAUUAAUCCUUCUCUCCAAUUUAAACCCUAACUUACCCACCCUAGCCCAUUCCGCUUCCUUUUAUGUUCUCGUGUUCUUCACUCUCCACUGUUUCUCCAUUGUUCUUCUUUCUUAGAACCCUAAAUCUGGUUCUCUGAUUUCCUUCAUCGUGUUUUUCUGGUUGUUGUUUCUUCUCCUUCUUUUCUCUUUUGCGUUUUUCUUUGUUAGUUCUUACUUUUGUGUUCAUGGAAAACCCUAAAUCUCCCACAACCUCCCCUUUCAAGAACUCUAAAUCGCCCAUUAACUCACCUCUGAAGAACCUUAACUCUCUUGAUGUUUCCCCUCUCAAAAUCCCCAAAUUGCCUCUAACAAACCCUAAGUAUUAUGACGAUGAAUGCUCUUCAGUUGAGACAGAUCCAAAAUGGGGUAGAGAACAAGACUCUGAGGGUGAACCCAUUUACACUCCUAAGCCUGAUCUGUAUCCUGAUCGUGAUUAUUCUUCUAUUGAUGCUGUUUUUUCUAACACUGAUUGUGAGGAUGAAAAUUGGAUUGACAAACUUGGGCCAUUUUCGAGUAUGUUUCUGUUGUUGUGGUUGCGUUCUGAGUGAUGAUGAUUUUUCUUUUUAGGGUUUUUCGAUGCAUUAUUUUCACAUGCUCAAUGAUCUUCAAGUGAGAGUAAUUUUUUUUCCACUAAAAAAAACAAAAAAAGGGGGUUUGGAUUGUUUUCCUAAACUUCAAGCGCAUACAUGUUCGUUUUUUGCUCAAUGAUUUCACAAUAAAAAUGACAAUUUUCUAAGAGUUUUGUAAAAACAACCACUUUUUUCAUUCAUGUAAGCAUGAGUACAAACACAUCCCAUUUUCAAGAUCUCAAAAAUUGUCCAAAAAACGCAUGAUUUUCAAGGUUCACAUGGUAAAUGGCUUUCUUCUCUGUGUUGCUGUUUUAUUGUGAGGGUUGCUGUUCAUGUUGAAACUUGCUGUGUUGGUGUUCGUUCUUGCUGUUCUGUUCUUCCCAAAAUGAUGUUGAUUGUGGUUGCUGUUCAUGUUCAUUCUUGAUGUUCUGUUCUUCCCAAAAUUGGUGUUCGUUCUCUGUGUUGGUUGUUUUGUUCAUUGUUGUUGCUCCCAAAAAUCUUCUUAACUACUGGUGUACUUGCUGUUGAAGAAUCGAACUACACCAAAGCUGUUGAAGAAUUGAGAAGGCUAUCCGAGAUUAAGUAGUUGAACUAUGUAAUUUUCUUUAUUAUUCGGAUUAAGUAUGUAAUGUAUUUGUAGGACCUAUUUGUAGGACGUAUGUAUUUUUGAUUAUUAACCCGAACUAUGUAAUUUUCGGUUAAUAAAAAAAAUUAACGACUUUUGAAGGUGAAAAAUAUUCACCAUUUUUAAA